rnacentral:rRNA from 1 species
GAUGANNGCUAGCGGCAGGCCUAAUACAUGCAAGUCGAGGGAGAAGUUGUCUUCGGAUGACAGGAACCGGCGAACGGGUGCGUAACACGUAUGCAAUCUACCUUUAACUGGGGCAUAGCCCGGGGAAACUCGGAUUAAUACCCCAUAACAUUAUGAAAUGGCAUCAUUUUAUAAUCAAAGUUCCGGCGGUUAGAGAUGAGCAUGCGGCCCAUUAGCUUGUUGGUGAGGUAACGGCUCACCAAGGCUACGAUGGGUAGGGGGUCUGAGAGGAUGAUCCCCCACACUGGUACUGAGACACGGACCAGACUCCUACGGGAGGCAGCAGUAGGGAAUAUUGGGCAAUGGACGAAAGUCUGACCCAGCCAUGNNNCGUGCAGGAUGAAGGCCCUAUGGGUUGUAAACUGCUUUUCUACGGGAAGAAACACUCAUACGUGUAUGAGCUUGACGGUACCGUAGGAAUAAGGAUCGGCUAACUCCGUGCCAGCAGCCGCGGUAAUACGGAGGAUCCAAGCGUUGUCCGGAUUCAUUGGGUUUAAAGGGUGCGUAGGCGGGCUACUAAGUCAGAGGUGAAAUCUUGCGGCUCAACCGUAAAAUUGCCUUUGAAACUGGUAGCCUUGAAUUCGGUCGAGGUGGAUGGAAUGUGUCAUGUAGCGGUGAAAUGCUUAGAUAUGACCCA